GACGAACGCUGGCGGCGCGCCUAACACAUGCAAGUCGAACGAGAGAGAAGGAGCUUGCUUCUUCGAUCGAGUGGCGAACGGGUGAGUAACGCGUGAGGAACCUGCCUCAAAGAGGGGGACAACAGUUGGAAACGACUGCUAAUACCGCAUAAGCCCACGGAUCGGCAUCGAUCUGAGGGAAAAGGAGUGAUCCGCUUUGAGAUGGCCUCGCGUACGAUUAGCUAGUUGGUGAGGUAAUGGCCCACCAAGGCGACGAUCGGUAGCCGGACUGAGAGGUUGAACGGCCACAUUGGGACUGAGACACGGCCCAGACUCCUACGGGAGGCAGCAGUGGGGAAUAUUGCACAAUGGGGGAAACCCUGAUGCAGCGACGCCGCGUGGAGGAAGAAGGUCUUCGGAUUGUAAACUCCUGUUGUUGAGGAAGAUAAUGACGGUACUC
rnacentral:rRNA from 1 species